GUCUCGAUUUGCUGCGGGGCAAUGAAAUGGAUGUGGGCAUCAAUACCUCCAGCUGUAACGAUCUUACCUUCAGCUGCAAUUAUUUCGGUAGCUGCUCCUAUCACCAUUGUCACCCCAUCCAUCAAUAGGGGAUUUCCCGCUUUUCCUAUAGCUGCAAUAUUUCCAUCCUUCACGCCAAUGUCCGCUUUAUAAACGCCUGUAUAAUCGAUGAUGAUCGCGUUGGUAAAAACAAGAUCCAUCACCUCAUCUCUUGAAGCGGUUGGAUGUUGCCCCAUACCAUCACG
rnacentral:sRNA from 1 species